CUGGGAGCCUGACACAUGGCACACAUCUGGUGGGCUCUGUGCUGCAACCGCACCCGGCAUCUGCCUUGCUGUCCUGGGCCACUUCUGCCUACAAUGUGUGGCCUCGGCUCGGGGUCUUGCUGGGAGACACAUCUGUUUCCCCUGGGGAAGACUCCAGCCCCGGGGUCCCUCACCCACUCCUUGUCCCCAGUGCCACCCUGUCAUGCUGCUCAGUAGAGCCAUGCUCCGGUGCUGCUGUGGUUGUUGAUCCUCAGAGUUGGGGAUCUGUGAAAGCAGCUGAUGUGGAUUUUUGACCUGAAGAACAGAGUAUACUUUACAACCAGGUGUGUAUGUGUGUAUGUGUGUGUGUGCAAACACACAGACGCUCUCGUGAAUUCCCAUCAUACAUACAGACACACUCUCAAACUUUCCAGAGUUCCCGGGACCUCUUGACAUGGCCUAGUGCCUGCUGGUGCUGUGUGCCCCUGGCCUGCGUCUUGGGAGAUCUACUUGAAGGUCACCUCAGAGGCCAGAGCUCUGCUGGCCUCUUGGAGGCUGGCUGUGCUGGGGCCUGCCUCUGUCCUUGCUGCGGUGUCACAUCUUGGUCCUGGUCUGUGUUCUGCCCCUGUGCUGUACCUCCGUUCUCCUCCCAGGUGAGGCUUUUCGACCUCCUCAGGAUACAGGGCAACUGUACAUCAGCCUCAUCCCUUCCGGAGCAGCUUCAGAAGGCCCACUUAGGCUCUGGGGGCGCUUGCGGAAGACCCUGCUUGGGGAGAUGCCUGGUGUUUGUGUCGCGCCCUUGGUCUGUGAAUCUGUGAUCUUUGGCUUGCAGGCAUAGCCUGUUCCCUUCUUCAGGACUGGGAGGUGUCUGUGUCUUUGCAGCUGUGGUCUGUCUCCCUGCCUGGCUUCCUCAAAGACCCCACGGCACUUUGCUGACCUCAUUUCCACAUUCCUGCAGCGUAACACGUGGAUUAAAGCCAAUUUAUUACCCCA
rnacentral:lncRNA from 1 species